UAUAAUUUAGUGUAAUAUGCACAGGAAUUUUUGAAGUUCUUAGAAUUAGAUUAAAUCUAAUAAUUAUAA
rnacentral:tRNA from 1 species